rnacentral:tRNA from 1 species
GAGGAUAUAGCUCAGUGGUAGAGUGCAUACUUAGCAUGCACAAGGUCCUGGGUUCAAUCCCCAGUACCUUCU